AAUGUUUUUGUUUUGAUUUAAAAACAAGUCCUCGAUGGAUUUGCUUCUAGAAGUUGAAAUAUGGCAUGAACUUAGCUUUGAAGUCCUUGAACCCGAACCCGAGGUAUAUGUAUAAUGAAUUGCUGGCCACAGAAAUCCUGCUCGUGCCCUUCUCAGGCCGUUAACUUCUUCCACACAUCGACCGUCCGCUCGCUGUGCGACACACCAUAUAGUGCUUAUCCGUGUCACCUGUUAUCAAUUCCUGGAAAACCACUUCGUUCUCACCGUGCACUAUAUUCAAGAAUCUGCAGCUAUUAACCGCUUUCUCAGCGUUUCAACUAUUCGCAGAGGUGCGUCAGAAAGGUUCCCUUUUUAUUUGGCUAAAAUCCUCAGAUAGAGCCAAACGGAACAUAGUAGCCCAAACUCUUGAAAGUUUCAACUUAAACGGGGAUGCUCCAGUGAUUGUUACGGAAUAUGACGAGAGCUUCAAAACUGCGUUUGAAAACCAGGUUCACUGUGCUACGGUACACAGUUGAUCAGGGCUGCAAUUUCUAUAUGAAAAAAUAAUUGGGACGUUUAAAGAUGUCCAGCACGAUUAAGGAGUAAUGUAAUGGCCGUGAUUAGUUUCUUGCCGAACUUCGAGAACUCUGCAAGGGAGUUGGAAGCCGUCACAAAACCCACGCUGCACUGGGUGAUUCCGCAUUUACGAAAACUGUCUUCCGAUGUCGUGGCUGAGGAACUUCACUUUUCACCCACAACAAACUGCGACGUUUCAAGGAAUCCUAAAAGCAAGCUAGAAUAAGCAAUGGAGUCCAACUAUGUGGAGUCCAACAGCCAGAGUAAAAGGUUCCCCGUUAAAAUGACAGCAACGACUUAGUAGCCCGCGAAAUCAACGGAUAUCUGAUUAUGCAGGUAGUGCUGAACACUGAUUUCAAAACGCACCACUGGUGUAAGGCCCCGAAUGCCAGUUUUCACUCCUCUAUAAAGUCAGUUGCAAGGUAUUUGCUCGAAAUACGCUGUUCCACGCCCAAAAUCUAAUUAGCGCGUCAUCUGGAUCCACAGGAGACUUAGAUCGGGCUUGGACUAAACUUGUUUUCUAAAUCAUAACACGAAAAAUGUUUAAUAUUGUUUUUUCAAGUGUAUUUUAUGUUUAAAAUGUGUUGGUUUAUCGUUUUCAGUCAUAUACCUUAAGUUAUAUUGUUUGUAAAGCCCAUAGAACAAAUAUAUAUUGAAAACACUCCUGUAAUAUCCCAGAGCACAAC
ensembl:ncRNA lncRNA:CR43685 long non-coding RNA:CR43685